AUUAUUUCGUAGCGUGUAAAUCGUAUUAAACGAUACACAACAAAUUGUACAACUUAAUGUUCACGACUGUUGUACGUAAUAUUCCACGUAUCUCGAUCUCUAAUAGAAGCUUCCAAUUAACUCGCCUUUCAUCACGGUUCGUGGCAUAAACCAGGUAUUACGUUUUCAUUAAUCGGCGUUGAUUUUCACGUACAAAGUCUUAUGUAUCCAUCUCAACCUUGCGGUGAAAGACAGCAUUUACCACUUUCUCUGGGUAUCGUGGGAGUUCGUUUUACCCAUACGCAGCACCCAACUACCCAGAAAAAUCGCCAAAGAAGAGUUACCAAAAUACUUAGAAGGGAGGAUGAAGUGGAAGAACAGAAAAAUAUUAGCAAGAUUCAGAUGAGAAAACGAGACCAAAGCAAGGGAAUACUGGAAAGGAGAGGGAGAAGAAGGAUGCAGACUAUGUAAAAGGAAAGGAGAAGACCUGAGACAUGUAAUAGAAGAAUGCGAAAUAACAGGAGGACCAAAGGGCAUAGAAAAACAUUAAAUGAAACUGGAGAAGGACUAACAGAACUAAAAGCAAUAAUAGAGGAGAGGCAAUACAAGACGGGGAGGAACGACAAUAAGGAAGCACAGCAAGGAGGCAAAAUAGCAAAAGUUGUCAUAGUUCUAGAGACAGAAGAAUUAAGGGAGUGCAAUAUAAUAGAGUGGAUAAGAGAGGAGGUAGAUAUAUAAGAAGCGAAAUAGGUAAAAGAGA
rnacentral:misc_RNA from 1 species